rnacentral:rRNA from 1 species
GUUGCAGGGUAUAGACCCGAAACCCGGUGAUCUAGCCAUGGGCAGGUUGAAGGUUGGGUAACACUAACUGGAGGACCGAACCGACUAAUGUUGAAAAAUUAGCGGAUGACCUGUGGCUGGGGGUGAAAGGCCAAUCAAACCGGGAGAUAGCUGGUUCUCCCCGAAAGCUAUUUAGGUAGCGCCUCGUGAAUUCAUCUCCGGGGGUAGAGCACUGUUUCGGCUAGGGGGCCAUCCCGGCUUACCAACCCGAUGCAAACUGCGAAUACCGGAGAAUGUUAUCACGGGAGACACACGGCGGGUGCUAACGUCCGUCGUGAAGAGGGAAACAACCCAGACCGCCAGCUAAGGUCCCAAAGUCAUGGUUAAGUGGGAAACGAUGUGGGAAGGCCCAGACAGCCAGGAUGUUGGCUUAGAAGCAGCCAUCAUUUAAAGAAAGCGUAAUAGCUCACUGGUCGAGUCGGCCUGCGCGGAAGAUGUAACGGGGCUAAACCAUGCACCGAAGCUGCGGCAGCGACACUGUGUG